GACGAACGCUGGCGGCGUGCCUAAUACAUGCAAGUCGAGCGAAGUUUUUCUGGUGCUUGCACUAGAAAAACUUAGCGGCGAACGGGUGAGUAACACGUAAAGAACCUGCCUCAUAGACUGGGACAACUAUUGGAAACGAUAGCUAAUACCGGAUAACAGCAUUAACUGCAUGGUUGAUGUUUAAAAGUUGGUUUUGCUAACACUAUGAGAUGGCUUUGCGGUGCAUUAGCUAGUUGGUGGGGUAAAGGCCUACCAAGGCGACGAUGCAUAGCCGACCUGAGAGGGUGAUCGGCCACACUGGGACUGAGACACGGCCCAGACUCCUACGGGAGGCAGCAGUAGGGAAUCUUCCGCAAUGGGCGAAAGCCUGACGGAGCAACGCCGCGUGAGUGAAGAAGGAUUUCGGUUCGUAAAGCUCUGUUGUUAGGGAAGAAUGAUUGUGUAGUAACUAUACACAGUAGAGACGGUACCUAACCAGAAAGCCACGGCUAACUACGUGCCAGCAGCCGCGGUAAUACGUAGGUGGCAAGCGUUGUCCGGAAUUAUUGGGCGUAAAGCGCGCGCAGGUGGUUUAAUAAGUCUGAUGUGAAAGCCCACGGCUCAACCGUGGAGGGUCAUUGGAAACUGUUAAACUUGAGUGCAGGAGAGAAAAGUGGAAUUCCUAGUGUAGCGGUGAAAUGCGUAGAAAUUAGGAGGAACACCAGUGGCGAAGGCGGCUUUUUGGCCUGUAACUGACACUGAGGCGCGAAAGCGUGGGGAGCAAACAGG
rnacentral:rRNA from 1 species